rnacentral:rRNA from 1 species
GACGAACGCUGGCGGCGUGCCUAAUACAUGCAAGUCGAACGCAGUGGGGACGGGUGAGUAACCCGUGGGUAACCUCCCAUCAGAGGGGAUUCCACAUGGAAACAGGUGCUAAACCGAUACUGAUGGAUGGACCCGCGGUGCAUUAGCUUGGUGGUGAGGUAACGGCUCACCAAGGCCACGAUGCAUAGGCGACGUGAGAGGGUGGUAGGCCACACUGCGACGGAGACGCGGCCCAGACUCAUACGCGAGGCAGCAGUAGGGAAUGUUAGGCAGGGUACGAAAGGCUGACCUGGCAACGCCGCGUGAGGGAAAGGGGGUUGCGGAUCUGAAUACUCUGGUUUUAGAGAAGCGGUAUUUAACCAGAAAGCCUCGGCUAACUACGUGCCAGCAGCCGCGGUAAUAC